rnacentral:tRNA from 1 species
UGCGGGGUAGAGCAGUUGGUAGCUCGUCGGGCUCAUAACCCGGAGGUCGAUGGUUCAAAUCCAUCCCCCGCUACCA